CCACCGAAGGAUGAGGGUGUGUGAGGCCCCGUCGGCCAAGCGGGCCGGGUGGCAGCGUCUGCGGGCCAGUCGCAGGGCUCUUCGAGUAACCCUGGCUUCAACUGUUCUAACCUCAAGAAUUAAUAAAGCGUCUUCUCAGAUUCAGGUCGUUCCGAGGUGCAGCAGAGCCUAUGAGGUGAAGAUGAAUGAAGGUCAUCCUGAUGUUUUCCAGAAACUGCUUACAGGAUGGCUGUGAUAAAACCACUAGGAGCACAACUGCACGUAAUGAGCGUAUAGGUAGCUGCAGAUGAAUAUUCAAGUCCAAAACUGUCAUGGUUAAAAUUCAUUGCCUCAAAGGCAUGCAGUUGGAAGGAGAAAUGAAGAAUUGGUCAAGAAGACAUGAAUUGAAACAGAUAAUAAAAUUAAUAUUUUAUUUAACAUUGAUCACUUCACAAUAAACGAUGUAGAAAAAUA